AUGUCGUGGCAGACUUACGUCGACGAGCACCUGAUGUGCGACAUCGAGGGCCACCACCUCGCCUCCGCGGCCAUCCUCGGCCACGACGGCACCGUCUGGGCCCAGAGCGCCGACUUCCCCCAGUUCGCGCCCGCCGAGAUCACUGCCAUCAUGAAGGACUUCGACGAGCCGGGGCACCUCGCCCCCACCGGCAUGUUCGUUGCAGGUGCCAAGUACAUGGUUAUCCAGGGUGAACCUGGGGCCGUCAUCCGUGGCAAGAAGGGAGCAGGAGGCAUCACCAUCAAGAAGACCGGGCAGGCGCUGGUGGUUGGCGCCUACGAGGAGCCCAUGACCCCUGGGCAGUGCAACAUGGUGGUGGAGAGGCUCGGCGACUACCUCGUUGAACAAGGCAUGUAG
rnacentral:rRNA from 1 species